rnacentral:other from 14 species
CUAGCCGUCGCGUCUUAACGCGCAGCCCUGAAGGCCCCACACCUUGUGGAUCUUGCCGUGGGUAUGUUUCUGGCAUGUGUUUCUCAAGCCUGCAACCGAAGCCGAACAGCCACAUGAACAGUUUGAGCGUGGUAGCGCUGUGUGAGUUGGCGGUGGAUCCCCCUCGUGGUAACACGAGCCCCCGUGGCCAAAAGCCCAGUGUUUACAGCACCUCUCACAUCCAGGACGACCCCAUCCUGGCGCUCACUCUUAGUAGUAUGGCUUAGUACGCAUUAGGUGGUAAGCCGAGCUCUCCCUCGGCCUUGUUCUGAAUGCACACAUGUCUAGGGGCUAAGGAUGUCCUACAGGUACCCGCACGUAACCUUCAGAGAGUGCGGAUCUGAGUAGGAGACCGUGGUGCACUGCUUUACAGAUGCAGCCCGGUUUAAAAAGCGUCUAUGCCCCUACAGGGUAGCGGUGGGCCGCGCCCUUUCCUUUUAAAACUACUUGUUC